GCGGGGUCCCCGGGGGAGGCGCUCGAGGGUCGCGCGGCCUGGGGUUUCCCGCGCAGAGGAGCUCGGGCCGCAGCCCCCGGGCUGUGCGCGCCGCCCUUACUCGUUACGGGUUUGCCUUCCGCUCUCUCUGCAGCCAGGGAGCGAGAACAGCGCUCGGACUUGUGAGUGACGCUGCCACCUCGGGCUUGAGAGCAGAGCCGGCCAGGGCGUCAGUGCCCGCGGCCUUUCGUCCGGCCCCCCGGGUGCCAGGGGCGCGCCCCAGGGCGCGGUCCCACGGGGAGGGGCGUGGGGCACAGGCGCCCCGUAGGCCUGUCCGUCCGCCUCUCGGUCGGCCCCUCCCGGGCGCAGACACGUCCCAACCCGGAGGGGCUUUACGGUUCUCACACUCCGUGUUGCAAAAACGACCCUGACGAGACACGAGUGAUUUGUUGAAACAUACUUCUUAGUGUCACGGACUAACUGGAAUCUGCAAAGCCGCGUCUGGGGCUGCUGCACGCGAGCACAGUGUCGCCGCCGCCGGGGCCGUCCCGGGUCUCCCUCCGCGCCCUCAGAAUUCCUGCCUGCGUCUUCACGGCUUUGGCGAUAAACGUACACCUGGGAAACCCCCAUCACCAUCUAUGCCGUAAACCUUCCGAGAUUUCCUCCUGCCCCUUUAUUAUUUGAGAACACUUACCGCCUUCUUAGGAAAUCAAGGUGGCUAGCACAGAAAACACGGAGGCCCCUCCACUCCAGACAUUGGCGAAGGCCUAAAGUAGAAACUAUCUACUGUGAAGCUGAUGAAGCUGAAGUCUCAAGGCCCCUCACAGGCACAGUCUCUUCCAGUAUGAACCUGGAAAUGUGAUCACAUGGUCAUGUGUUUCUGUGAAAUUUAUACAAGGAAAUGUUUUAAGUGCAAUGGAUAAAUAUCACAAUUUCUUUCCAUUUGAUUCCCACCCCACCCCCCAGUAUCAUACUUCUCAACUUAGUAGUUGUUGGAUUUAUUGGGGGACAUUUUGGCAUCUUCCAGGGAAUUUGAGUAGGAAAUAUAUUUAGUUUAGAUUUAGUGAGGUAUAUUUAUAUGGUCGUAUCUUCAAAAUUUAGUUAUUGCUUAAUUUUAUUUAUUUAUUUAUUUAUGAUAGUAAUACACAGAGAGAGAGAGAGAGGCAGAGACACAGGCAGAGGGAAAAGCAGGCUCCAUGCACCGGGAGCCCGACGUGGGAUUCGAUCCUGGGUCUCCAGGAUCGUGCCCUGGGCCAAAGGCAGGCGCCAAACCGCUGCACCACCCAGGGAUCCCUAGUUAUUGCUUAAAUUCCAGUUUGUCUAUUGUGCAGCUCAUUAAGCAUUAUAUCGAAGAUGCAAGACCAGAGGUCCUAUUAAGAUAUAAACAGAUCCCAAGACCCCUGACACUGAAAAUAUGCGGAUAGUAGAAGAGAAACAAGAUUUAAAAUGUACAAUAGCAAAAGGGGACUAUGGAAAAUUAUUCCAGGCAUCCAAAGACAAAACACAAGAGGAAGAAUCCCUUCUAAUUGAUGUAAUUUUUCUCAUAGCAGUAAUACAUUCAAUAAUGCAGUACAGGGGUUCUUGGGUAGCUCAGUAGGUUGAUCCUGGGGUCAUAGGGAUCCCUGUUCAGCAUGGGAAUCUGUUUCUUCCUCUCCUCCUGCCCUCCCCAACACCCCAACCUGCUCCUGCUCGCUUGUGCUCUCUUGAAUAAAUAAAAUCU